UGACCCCUGCAGUGACCCCUGCAGUGACCCCUGCAGUGACCCCGUCAGGGAUAAGCCCCAACAAGCUGGAGGAAGGAUUUAAGAUGUAGCCUGUUAUACAUUCAGGAGAGAAGGUGAGGUGUGAAGUGACCAACGGUUGUGGUUCAUUCGAUUUUUGGUUUGAUGUUGGAAGACAUUGAGAAUUAAACAAGACUCAAAUCUU